rnacentral:rRNA from 1 species
GAUGAACGCUAGCGAUAGGCCUAACACAUGCAAGUCGAGGGGCAUCACGGAGUAGCAAUACUUUGGUGGCGACCGGCGCACGGGUGAGUAACGCGUAUGCAAUCUACCUACAACAGGGGGAUAACCCGGAGAAAUCCGGACUAAUACCGCAUAACACAGGGGUCCCGCAUGGGAAUAUUUGUUAAAGAUUUAUCGGUUGUAGAUGAGCAUGCGUUCCAUUAGGUAGUUGGUGAGGUAACGGCCCACCAAGCCUGCGAUGGAUAGGGGAACUGAGAGGUUUGUCCCCCACACUGGAACUGAGACACGGACCAGACUCCUACGGGAGGCAGCAGUGAGGAAUAUUGGUCAAUGGGCGAGAGCCUGAACCAGCCAAAUCGCGUGAAGGAAGACUGCCUUAUGGGUUGUAAACUUCUUUUGUACAGGAAUAAAAAGAGGGACGUGUCCUUCAUUGCAUGUACUGUACGAAUAAGCAUCGGCUAACUCCGUGCCAGCAGCCGCCGUAA